ACUCGAAUAAGAUUUAGUUCGUUAGAUGUUAUCUAUUACCCAUAUAUAGGAUAUAUACUUCUAAAAACAAUAUAUGAUUGUCAAUGAUGAGAAGAUCUUCCAAUAUUUUCAUACUCCAUAAGAUGUAGUUGGAAAAGAAAGACAAAUCUUAAGCAUGUUAAAGAUUUGGGGUUGUGUGCUAACUAGCAAUAUUUGUUUGAUAACAAACUUGUAGGAUAUCCUUAAAAUAACUUUUGGAUAUCGCUUCUAUAAACCAACUAACAAAUGUUGUUUUGUUGGGUAGUUCAUUGUAAUUCUACAAUGUGAUUUGCCUAAAAGCAAAUGAACGAAAGAUAGAACUCAAAGAAUGGGUUCUUUGAGAGACAAGAUAGUAAUCAACAAAUAUAACAACCUAGUUCCUAUACCACAAGCUCCAAGGUAGUCGAUAAGGAUUUAUAAACCGUCUCAGUUGAAUGGUUUUGAACUUUAUGACUAUGUCAUAGAGUUGCACCUCUUAAUUCGAAAGAAAUAAGAAUAAAAAUCCUUAUGACUACAUUGAGUGCAUAUACGAUAUAUACUCAAGGAAAUGGUAAAGUACCAUUUGACUCGAAAUAAUGAAACCUUCAUAGCUAAUUGGUAGCUUAAGGUGACUACAAUCAAAUAGAAUGGUUGACUUUAAAGGAACCAUUUUUGACGUAGUCUUAGUUUCAAUUAAUUCGAAGAUUGCUAGCUACAACUAAAUGGUGAUUCAAUGUUUUGACAUAAUAUGGGGUUUCCGAAACCAUUAUUAAGAUAGUCUUGAUAAUAUAUGUCUAAAACUAUAAAUCACAAGACAUGUAAGUUGUAGAGAUCCAUCCAUCAUGGAUCUUAGCAAGUUAGUGGGAGCUAUUUGCAUUUUAUGAGAAAAAUGAUCAAAUCGUUUGAUUUCUCAUAAAGAUGUAAAUGAAUCUUUUGUUUACUAGUUUUACAAAAGAUUAGUGGGAGUUAAUCAUGUUCCUAAAAAUUUAAAUAUAUAUGAUAUAUUAAUUUUGGAAAUGAAAAGAAUACUUCUUUGUUAAAGUUAUGACUUUAAUACAUUAUAUGAAGAUAGAAUGUAUAUGGGAGAUAUAGUCUAUAUACAUGGGAUGGAAAUCUAUAAUGAUAUAUUUCAUGAUAUAAUUGGAUUAUAUCAAUGCCUAAUAAUAGACAAUGGAUGCUAGGAAGUUUCUCAUAUGAUGAUAAACUUCAAUAAGAAGGACGAUUCUAGUGAGACUAGCAAGUUGCCCUUCUCAAAGGGAAUGUACCCUUUGACUCCCAAAGAAAUAAUGCGUAAAUUGAAUCCUUUAUGCAUAAGCAGAAAGGUGAUUUAUGUAUUUCAUAUUGUAUGAAAAACAUUGAUAUGAGUUGUACCUAGAACGGUACAAGACGAUAUCAGUGCAAGCCCAGGAUCAGAACCAUGGCAACUGUCAAGUUAGUCCUUAAGUAUUUAAGAAAUACUAAAGGAUAAAUUCCUCAAAGAUCGAGGAAGAAUCAAAGUA
rnacentral:lncRNA from 1 species